GUGGGGAAUAUUGGACAAUGGGCGAAAGCCUGAUCCAGCCAUGCCGCGUGUGUGAAGAAGGUCUUCGGAUUGUAAAGCACUUUAAGUUGGGAGGAAGGGCAGUAAGUUAAUACCUUGCUGUUUUGACGUUACCGACAGAAUAAGCACCGGCUAACUUCGUGCCAGCAGCCGCGGUAAUACGAAGGGUGCAAGCGUUAAUCGGAAUUACUGGGCGUAAAGCGCGCGUAGGUGGUUUUGUAAGUUGGAGGUGAAAUCCCCGGGCUCAACCUGGAAACUUCCUCCAAAACUGCAUGACUAGAGUACGGUAGAGGGUAGUGGAAUUUCCUGUGUAGCGGUGAAAUGCGUAGAUAUAGGAAGGAACACCAGUGGCGAAGGCGACUACCUGGACUGAUACUGACACUGAGGUGCGAAAGCGUGGGGAGCAAACAGGAUUAGAAACCCGGGUAGUCC
rnacentral:rRNA from 1 species